rnacentral:rRNA from 1 species
AUACGGAGGGCGCAAGCGUUGUUCGGAAUCAUUGGGCGUAAAGCGGGUGUAGGCGGCUUGGCAAGUCGGGUGUGAAAUCCCUGGGCUCAACCCAGGAACUGCACUCGAAACUGCCUCGCUAGAGUCUCGGAGAGGGUGGCGGAAUUCCCGGUGUAGAGGUGAAAUUCGUAGAUAUCGGGAGGAACACCAGUGGCGAAGGCGGCCACCUGGACGAUGACUGACGCUCAGACCCGAAAGCGUGGGGAGCAAACAGGAUUAGAUACCCUGGUAGUCC